UACAGAGGGUGCGAGCGUUAAUCGGAAUUACUGGGCGUAAAGCGCGCGUAGGCGGCUUUGCAAGUCGAGUGUGAAAUCCCCGGGCUCAACCUGGGAACUGCAUUCGAGACUGCAUUGCUAGAGUAUGGGAGAGGGAAGUGGAAUUUCAGGUGUAGCGGUGAAAUGCGCAGAUAUCAGGAAGAACACCCGUGGCUAAGGCGGCUCUCUAGUACGGGUAC
rnacentral:rRNA from 1 species